ACCUAAGAUGAGGGGAGGACAAGAACCAGCUCAAAAUUCUAACAAGGUUUUGUUCAUUGGAUGAGUUUUCAUUGAAAUCAUCAGAAUGUGCUAAGCUUCGAGCUGUCUCCAAUGAGAGAAACAUGAGUGAAAGAUGGGAGGUGAUGGCAUGCUGCCCAGGAACAAGAUCCAAUGAUAUAGCCAGCAACAGUUCCACUGCAGGAGUAAACUGCCAUCUCAGACCACAACAGUACAGUACAAGGAGCUAGCUAUUUCCUGAGAUCAUAGCCCUCACGUGACACUUGGAAGAAGCUCUAGCAUAAUGAUAGAUAUUUAGAUAUGCAUGGGAGCAUGGUGUUUGCAAAUACAAAGAUUACCAAUGGAUUAUUAAAUUAAAGUGGAUUGUGCA